rnacentral:tRNA from 1 species
UGUAAUCUUAGUUCAGUUGGUAGAGUAGUGAGCUGUUAACUCACUUGUCGUUGGUUCAAGUCCAGCAGAUUACGU